rnacentral:ncRNA from 1 species
AUCCAUUUGUGGUUCAUAAGCGUGAUGAUUGAGCUUUCACACACAUGUGAGACGUGCCUCGCCCAAUCCUUAA